rnacentral:misc_RNA from 1 species
CGGGGAAGCCCUUCUCCGUCAGCAACGAACAAGUCUUUUAAUAUAUUGAGGUCAUCUUCCAUCAUGACAACAUCAAAUUCAGAAAAUGCACGUGAUGGACCUCCAUCUAGUAAUACCCAAGCAUAACCUUCCAGUGAUGCCUUAAAAAUACUUUUCACUACAAUGUCUCUGAGGGCGUCAUCAAUCAGAGCACAAACAUUAUUGAGGACUCUAUCAAAUUGUGGAAGUAUAGUUUCCAAUCGUGCCCCUUCAACAUCACCGUGAUAUAAAUUAAAUAUGAAUGGUUCUCUCAUGUCCCAAAACACAACUCUAGCUCCCACUAACUCGCAAGUUCUCUUGAUAGCAUCAGCAGCGCUAUCACGGAUGCAGUCAAAGGUGGCAACAAAAAGCUCAUCAACUGACUCACUACACAUUUCCAAAAUCCCAUUUGAAGUCCAAUGAGAAUCCUCAUCAAGGCAUGUCUGAUCUUUAAAAACUCUAACAGCUGACCAUGACUCCCUAAUACCAUCCUCAAGGGAGGAAAUUUUUUUCUGCAUAUAUUGAAG